rnacentral:rRNA from 1 species
ACUCCUACGGGAGGCAGCAGUGGGGAAUAUUGCGCAAUGGGCGGAAGCCUGACGCAGCGACGCCGCGUGGGGGAUGACGGCCUUCGGGUUGUAAACCUCUUUCGACUUCGACGAAGCUUUUUGGGGUGACGGUAGGGGUGGAAGAAGCACCGGCCAACUACGUGCCAGCAGCCGCGGUAAUACGUAGGGUGCGAGCGUUGUCCGGAAUUAUUGGGCGUAAAGAGCUCGUAGGCGGUGUGUCACGUCGGCCGUGAAAACCUGCAGCUUAACUGUGGGCGUGCGGUCGAUACGGGCAUCACUGGAGUUCGGCAGGGGAGACUGGAAUUCCUGGUGUAGCGGUGAAAUGCGCAGAUAUCAGGAGGAACACCGGUGGCGAAGGCGGGUCUCUGGGCCGAUACUGACGCUGAGGAGCGAAAGCGUGGGGAGCGAACAGGAUUA